GUGUGAAGUUCAGCUAACCAAAGCUGCAAUUGGGAUUUGCUUCCCUGAUUUAAAUAUAGGCAAUGCUUCAACUAUUCAAUAUGUUUACCUUAAUGGUCAAAAAUCUUACCGUGUGAAUGGAGUCACUACUCAGGGCUGGUUCACCAUUGAUUUCUCCUUGAGAGAUGUCCAGAAUGUUUCUUUGAUUUGAGGAAUAUUCUCGCAACAGAUAGAUUCGAUGGAAAUGGAUAUACGAUUCUCACGAUUCAAAAUGUAACCGAGCAAAUUAAGCCACAAGGAGGUUUUUGGUUGCAUGUUCAGCACAAUGCAUUCUAUGAGCAACACAAUUUAAGCAUGAGCAGUUUUCUAGUAUCAUUUUCAAGAACUGUUUCCAUUGACUUCAUCUCUUCUCCUGAAGUGAAUUUCUUUAAGAAAAUUACUGGCCAUUUCAAGUGGAAUGGACCGAGUUUUGUGUUACAGUUUCUUGGGAAAGAAGAUUUCGAGCCGACAAUAAACUGAACCUACGGUUCUAUCUUGAGUAACUUAGGUUUUGUCAAGACGUUUGCUUCAAAGAUUCUUGUUCCCAAGUUACAUAUUUCCACUCGAUGACAAGCAGUACUUGCUUCCUCCUACAUCAUUAGUUCAAGAUGCUCACAAAGCAGGAUUAGAAGUAUAUGUGUCAGGUUUCGCAAAUGAUAAUGAUCUCGCUUAUAACUAUAGUUACGAUCCAGUGUCGGAGUAUCAAUCUUUUGUGGACAAUGGUGAUUUCUCUGUGGAUGGUGUGAUCUCUGAUUUUCCUGUGACUGCAUCUGCAUCAAUCAAUCUGUAAGCAAAAUCUCUUCUACAGACCAUUUUUCCUUAAAACGUUGUUGGAAAUACUUAAAAGUUUCCUUUUCAAAUU